ACUAGUUUACAUACACUUAGGUUGGAGUCAUUAAAACUAGUUUACAUACACUUAGGUUGGAGUCAUUAAAACUAGUUUACAUACACUUAGGUUGGAGUCAUUAAAACUAGUUUACAUCCACUUAGGCUGGAGUCAUUAAAACUAGUUUACAUACACUUAGGCUGGAGUCAUUAAAACUAGUUUACAUACACUUAGGCUGGAGUCAUUAAAACUAGUUUACAUACACUUAGGCUGGAGUCAUUAAAACUAGUUUACAUACACUUAGGCUGGAGUCAUUAAAACUAGUUUACAUACACUUAGGCUGGAGUCAUUAAAACUAGUUUACAUACACUUAGGCUGGAGUCAUUAAAACUAGUUUACAUACACUUAGGCUGGAGUCAUUAAAACUAGUUUACAUACACUUAGGCUGGAG